rnacentral:rRNA from 1 species
GAGAAAGUAAUUAAGGGCGCAUGGAGGAUGCCUUGGCUCUUGAAGGCGAUGAAGGACGUGAUAAGCUGCGAUAAGCUCUGGGGAGGUGCAAAUAACCUUUGAUCCGGAGAUCUCCGAAUAGGAAACCACACUAACUGAAGGUUAGUGACCCAUAGUGGGGCAAACCCGGGGAACUGAAACAUCUAAGUACCUGGAGGAAAAGAAAACAAAAGUGAUUCCCAAGUAGUGGCGAGCGAAAAGGGAAUAGCCCAAACCGUCCCUGUUAAGGCAGUGGCGGGCGAGGACUACAAUAUGAGCUGUAAUUUAAGUUGAAGUUUUGGAAAGAAACAUCAUAGAGGGUGAUAAUCCCGUAAACGAAAGAAUUGCAGCGAUAGUAGUAUCCUGAGUACCGCGAGGUCGGAGACGCCUUGUGGGAAUCUGCCGGCACCAUCCGGUAAGGCUCAAAUACUCUCAAGAGACCGAUAGUAAACCAGUACUGUGAAGGAAAGGUGAAAAGAACCGCGAACAGCGGAGUGAAAUAGAACCCCGAAACCAUGCGCUUACAAGCGGUCGGUGUGCGCCUCGGGGUGACUGAGUGCCUUUUGGCAUAAUGAGCCUACGAGUUACUCCUCAUUGGCAAGGUUAACCCUGUAAACGGGGGAGCCGCAGCGAAAGCAAGUCUGAAUAUGGCGUAUAGUCAGUGGGGGUAGACGCGAAACCUUGUGAUCUACCCAUGACCAGGAUGAAGUGACGGUAACACGUCAUGGAGGUCCGAACUGGUGGACGUUGAAAAGUCCUCGGAUGAGUUGUGGGUAGGGGUGAGAGGCUAAUCAAACGGGGAAAUAGCUCGUACUCGCUGAAAUGUUUUUAGGAACAGCGUCGAGGUAGAGUGUCAUAGAGGUAGAGCUACUAAUUGGGCUAGGGGCUUCACCGCCUACCAAACCCAGAUAAACUCCGAAUGCUAUUGACAUAUACUCGGCAGUGUGCCUUGGGUGCUAAGGUCCGAGGGCGAGAGGAAAGAACCCAGACCAUCAGCUAAGGUCCCAAAAUCUAUACUAAGUUGACAAAACGUGGUCCGAUUGCAUUGGAGAGCUAGGAUGUUUGCUUGGAAGCAGCAAUUCAUUUAAAGAGUGCGUAACAGCUCACUAGUCGAGCGAUCGGGCGUGGAUAAUAAUCGGGCAUCAAGUAUAGUACCGAAGCUAUGGACUUAAUGUAAAUUAAGUGGUAGGGGAGCAUUCUAGUUGCGCUGAAGGCGUGCUGCGAGGCAUACUGGAGCGGCUAGAAAAGCAAAUGUAGGCAUAAGUAACGAUAAGGCGGGUGAGAAACCCGCCCACCGUAAGACUUAGGUUUCUGAUCAACGUUAAUCGGAUCAGGGCGUCGGGUCCUAAGGCGUAGCCGAACGGCGAAGUCGAUGGACAACAGGUUAAUAUUCCUGUGCCAGUGCACAAUGCGAUCUGGGGACGGAGAAACGUAGCAACUACGUACUGACGGAUAUGUACGUUGAGCCGAGCCUUCGGGCAAAGCGAAGUUGUAAAGUAGCUUCCGAGAAAAGCCAGUAAGCUUCAGUUGUGUACUGCCCGUACCGCAAACCGACACAGGUAGUCGAGGAGAGAAUCCUAGGGUGCUUGAGUGAUCCAUGGCUAAGGAACUCGGCAAAUUAACCCUGUAACUUCGGAAGAAAGGGUGCCCCCUCUAGGGGGGGCCGCAGUAAAGAGGCCCAGGCGACUGUUUAACAAAAACACAUGGCUUUGCUAAAUCGAAAGAUGAUGUAUAAGGCCUGACACCUGCCCGGUGCUGGAAGGUUAAAAGGAGAUGUCAUUCGCAAGAAGAAGCAUUGAAUUGAAGCCCCAGUAAACGGCGGCCGUAACUAUAACGGUCCUAAGGUAGCGAAAUUCCUUGUCGGGUAAGUUCCGACCUGCACGAAUGGUGUAACGAUCUGGGCGCUGUCUCAGCCAUGAGCUCGGUGAAAUUGUAGUAGCGGUGAAGAUGCCGCUUACCCGCAACGGGACGGAAAGACCCCGUGCACCUUCACUACAACUUAACAUUGAUUCUGGAUAAAUGAUGUGUAGGAUAGGUGGGAGACUUUGAAGCGGUGGCGCUAGCCAUCGUGGAGUCAACCUUGAAAUACCACCCUUUAUUUAUUUGGAAUCUAAUCCCGAAAAACGGGAGACAUUGUUUGGUGGGUAGUUUGACUGGGGUGGUCGCCUCCAAAAGAGUAACGGAGGCUUUCAAAGGUACCCUCAGCACGCUUGGUAACCGUGCGUAGAGUGCAUUAGCAUAAGGGUGCUUGACUGUGAGACCGACAAGUCGAGCAGGUACGAAAGUAGGAUAAAGUGAUCCGGUGGUUCCGCAUGGAAGGGCCAUCGCUCAUAGGAUAAAAGGUACGCCGGGGAUAACAGGCUGAUCUCCCCCAAGAGCUCACAUCGACGGGGAGGUUUGGCACCUCGAUGUCGGCUCGUCACAUCCCGGGGCUGGAGAAGGUCCCAAGGGUUCGGCUGUUCGCCGAUUAAAGUGGCACGCGAGCUGGGUUCAGAACGUCGUGAGACAGUUCGGUCCCUAUCUGUUGUGGGCGUUAGAAGUUUGAGAGGGCCUGACUCUAGUACGAGAGGACCGAGUCGGACGAACCUCUAGUGUACCUGUUAUGGCGCCAGCUGUAGCGCAGGGUAGCUAUGUUCGGUUAAGAUAAGCGCUGAAAGCAUCUAAGCACGAAACUUGCCUCAAGAUGAGACUUCUUUAUAAGGGUCGUCAGAGACUAUGACGUUGAUAGGCUACAGAUGUAAAGGUGGUAACACCAUAGUCGAGUAGUACUAAUUACCCGUAAGCUUUCCAAC